rnacentral:lncRNA from 1 species
GUCGCUCACCUUGGUCUAUGUGCAUAUUAAACAAAGGACACAAAUGGAUUAAUGACAAAAUUCUAUUUUGGUGAUGGUGAUGUGUUUGAAGUUCUUACUUUACUGAACGAUUUUGCUUCUUACAAUUAUAUCUAUAAUGAACUUUGCCCAUUAGUAACAGAGAACUAUAUUUGGUAAAAAUUUACAUAAAUUUACCAAAUUAAUGAAAAUUGUUAAAAAUUGACUAUAAAGGACAAUAACUCCUUAAGGGGUCAAUUGACCAUUUAGGUCAUGUUGACUUAUUUGUAGAUCUUACUUUGCUGAACAUUAU